UAUUACCAUUAUAAACCAACACAUAGUGAUUCAUUGGUUCAAACCUAGCAACGUUGGAUUGACUGGUCACCUCAAAUACCGUCAGUGAGAUAAGAUAGAGGUUGCAAAAUGCAUGGGUUACGAUUGGGUAAUGGGAUAAUAGUUUCGCCGUUUCCCGUUUCCGUACCGAUACUGUUUCCCGUUCCCGAUUCCGUGCAACAUAGGUUCGAUAUCUUCCGAAUUAUAAUAGCACAUAUGAGCAAUCAUUUAAAACAGCAUCAGAUCCUUGUAUACACACAAAAUGGAUAUCACAUGCAUCCCAAUCAGAAUCAUCACUUAAAAACUCCACUCGCAACCCCUUCAGAUCAACCAUGAAAUCAAAACUUCUAAUAAUUGUUUAACCACUACCAAUUCCUUGUAUACACACAAAAUCAAGUUUUUACAAAACCAAUUCAUUCACAUCUUGUUGUUUCAUCACAAUUUCUCCAAAUUCGAGAUCUGGUGCUUGACCCGUUUUUUUCUUGUUUUUAGAUCUGCAACAAUACAAUACAAAUUCAUAUAUCAAAUGGAGUCUACCCACCACCACCAUCAACAAAGCAAAAUAUGCGAAAGAGGGCAUCAGGGAAUAAAUGAAUGAUGUUCAUAAAUCAUAACCGAGAUGAUGAUAAUGAUGAUAUACAGUAUAUGUAUAUAUAGAUGUAUGAGUGUGUGUUUGUAUUAUAUAUAGAUAAAGAAAAACAUAUAUAAGAGGUUGAUGAUUAUUGUGGUUAUAAUAUAAAGAUGGAUCUGAGAAAAAGUAGAAAGAAAAACAAGUUGGGGAUCUGAAAUUAUUUUCCCUAUAUGUAUUUUUAAUAAAAUGAAAUAAAGUGGAACGGACAGAAAUACUCUCAUGUGCAGGGCACAUGAGAGGGGAUAACGGAGAGUUACAAACGGCUUAGAGACGGAGGGGUGUCUAGUGAUACAAAAAAGUCACUACAAAGUGAUGUAAUAAUAAUAAAAAAAAAUAGAUGGAUUGACAGUGUUUGGAUAGAUUUUAGAUAUUAAUAAGAUGAAUCUUUAAGAGAUUAUGACUUGCUUCUGCUUUGUGUUGUAACAAUAUGAUGUGAUUGUUUAUACGAUAAUGAUACGGAUAGAUUUAUAAUUCUAGGAUCCUAUGACCUCUUGUGAUUGAUACCAUAAUUAAGUUAGGCUGCCUUUAUCACCUUUUGUUUCUAACGCACUGAUUGGUCCAAAAACACUUCCAGGAAAAUGCAAGCUGAAAAGCAAGGGAUUUCUGACCUUGGAGUAGUGGCGAAGAGGCCUUAAAGCACUGCAGGCUGAUACCCUAAUUAAGUUGCAGCAGGCACUUCCAGAACUGGAGAACGAGGUUCAAAAGACAGCAAAUGAUGUGAACUUCUAUACCUUUGCAUUUGAAUAUUGCCUAACAGACACAGGUUGAUUACAAGGUUAUAAACAUGAAUCAAUGGACGACUUUCUAUAGAUUUUGAAAUGAGAUACCAUAAGACCCUCAUUUUGUGUUUAAAAUGAGGAACACUUUUGAGUCACUUGGUUAUCAACCUGGUUUUUAUCUAUCCCAGCUAUUUACAUUUACAAGGGGCAACAUUUCAUCGCCUUCUUCCACCACAAUGCCACUAAAGCAACCCACAAUUCCGACCCGCCCACCACCCCCUCUUCAACUGGGCCCCACUUAGAACAAUGUCAUCAUCCAACUUCCAUAACCCGGGCCAACUUGAACAACCACCAGGCCCAUCAAAAGAUGACCUCACAUGUUUCUCCAUCUCAUUCAUCAGAUGCUCAUAUGGAAAACAUGAUGGGUUCUGAACAUGCUCAAAAUGACAUAAAAUGACCCAACGAGUUGAGCUUCUUCAGCGCCCUUACAGGAAGAAGUGAUGAUGCCAGGAUACUGUUCAAUGACGGUAUAUAAACUAGGUUGUAUUUAUGUAAGAUGUGAUAUGUAACAUUAAGGAUUAAUGAGAUUGGAUUAUUAAGUAGUUUGCGUUUUGUAUUUAUGUAAGAUGUAGAAAUCCAUAUUAACAUAUACUCGGAAUCAUAUUCUUCAAUUUUCAAUAGU